GAUGAACGCUGGCGGCGUGCCUAAUACAUGCAAGUCGAGCGAACGGACGAGAAGCUUGCUUCUCUGAUGUUAGCGGCGGACGGGCGAGUAACACGUGGAUAACCUACCUAUAAGACUGAGAUAACUUCGGGAAACCGGAGCUAAUACCGGAUGAUAUUUUGAACCGCAUGGUUCAAAAGUGAAAGACGGUCUUGCUGUCACUUAUAGAUGGAUCCGCGCUGCAUUAGCUAGUUGGUAAGGUAACGGCUUACCAAGGCAACGAUGCAUAGCCGACCUGAGAGGGUGAUCGGCCACACUGGAACUGAGACACGGUCCAGACUCCUACGGGAGGCAGCAAUAGGGAAUCUUCCGCAAUGGGCGAAAGCCUGACGGAGCAACGCCGAGUGAGUGAUGAAGGUCUUCGGAUCGUAAAACUCUGUUAUUAGGGAAGAACAUAUGUGUAAGUAACUGUGCACAUCUUGACGGUACCUAAUCAGAAAGCCACGGCUAACUACGUG
rnacentral:rRNA from 1 species